GAAGGGUGAGUAACACGUGAGCAAUCUGCCUUUCAGAGGGGGAUACCGAUUGGAAACGAUCGUUAAUACCGCAUAAUAUAAUUGAACCGCAUGAUUUGAUUAUCAAAGAUUUAUCGCUGAAAGAUGAGCUCGCGUCUGAUUAGCUAGUUGGUAAGGUAACGGCUUACCAAGGCGACGAUCAGUAGCCGGACUGAGAGGUUGAUCGGCCACAUUGGGACUGAGACACGGCCCAGACUCC
rnacentral:rRNA from 1 species